rnacentral:misc_RNA from 1 species
UCUCCGUUGGUGAACCAGCGGAGGGAUCAUUACCGUGUGCAAACUCAUACCCUUUGUGAACCUAUAUCUGUUGCUUCGGCGGCUCGCUCUCGGGCGAGCCCGCCGGUAAUAUCAGUAUCUCUGUUUGAACCCGACGAUACUUCUGAGUGUUCUUAGCGAACAGUUAAAACUUUUAACAACGGAUCUCUUGGCUCUA